AUUCCGUUGCCAUCAUUUGGUAUCAACAGAAGUUCUAGUAUAAUUCCACAGAAAAAGGUUUCAGAUCCCUCAAGAUGAAAGCGAUCAUUUUAACACUUUUUGUGGGACUAUUCCUCCAUGGGUGUGAAGGGUACGUACCGUGGUGUCCGGAUUAUAUGCAGAAUAGCACCUGCUUCUGUGGCUGUUACGAUACGUUAUUUUAUUGCCGGAGAAACUGUGAGGGCAUGUCAUACAGCGCGCGUAAUAGGUGCCUGAUAUCGUGUGCAGACAGGUACUAACACUACAACAGAAGCUGCCUGCCUCUUCCAGGCUAACUGCUGAUGGACUGACAAUGAAAACCUAUUCGGAAUAAUGUUUAAGACCAAAUUAUAUGAACCAUGAACGAAAAAUUUAAAGAAAUGUUACAUGUAUAACAAUACAAUAUGUACAAUUAC
rnacentral:sRNA from 1 species